CCUACGGGUGGCAGCAGUGAGGAAUAUUGGUCAAUGGACGAGAGUCUGAACCAGCCAAGUAGCGUGAAGGAUGACUACCCUAUGGGUUGUAAACUUCUUUUAUAUGGGAAUAAACUGUUCCACGUGUGGGAUUUUGUAUGUACCAUAUGAAUAAGGAUCGGCUAACUCCGUGCCAGCAGCCGCGGUAAUACGGAGGAUCCGAGCGUUAUCCGGAUUUAUUGGGUUUAAAGGGAGCGUAGGUGGAUUGUUAAGUCAGUUGUGAAAGUUUGCGGCUCAACCGUAAAAUUGCAGUGGAAACUGGCAGUCUUGAGUACAGUAGAGGUGGGCGGAAUUCGUGGUGUAGCGGUGAAAUGCUUAGAUAUCACGAAGAACUCCGAUUGCGAAGGCAGUUCACUGGACUGCAACUGACACUGAGGCUCGAAAGUGUGGGUAUCAAACAGGAUUAGAUACCCCUGUAGUC
rnacentral:rRNA from 1 species